AUAAGAACAGCCCUCUGCUGGAUCAGGCCCAAGUAGGCCCAUCUAGUCCAGCAUCCUGUUUUACACAGUGGCCCACAAGAUGCCACUGGAAGCCACAGGCAGGAGUUGAGGGCAUGCCCUCUCUCCUUACUCCCCUGCAACUGGGACUCAGAGGCAUCAGUGGCCUAUAGCCCUCGAACUAGUAGCCAUUGAUAGACCUCUCCUCCAUUAAGUUAUCCAAACCCCUCUUAAAGCCAUCCAGGUUGUUGGUUGUCACCACAUCUUGUGGCAGAGAAUUCCACAAGUUGAUUAUGCAUUGUGUGAAAAAGUACUUCCAUUUGCUGAUCCGAAAUGUUCUCCACACACAAAAAUUCUCCCUCCACCGCCUGGGCCGACCUGUUUCUCCCCAGUACUUCUCCUCUCCCCACUCCCCCGCAUCACAAAGACUGGCAGCUCUCUCUCUCUCUCUCUGCCAAAGUGAGGUUUCUCCCCUGCCUGCUGCCGCCACCGGCGCCGUUAGCAGAAACAGGGGGAGGGAAGGGUUAAUCAUGAUUCCUCUUGCUUGCCUGCCGGCCUGUGUCUCCUUGUGGCACCAGCUGCAGCCACCUAAUUGGCUCUCCUGGAGUUCCUUCCUCCUCCCCUUGAUGUUUUGAACACAUAGCAGAGCAAGCCCGCCAGGAGGGAAAGCUGAGCUCCGUCUCAAAGCAAAGCUCGCUGUUGAGGAGCCAGGCAGUGCUGAUGCACCACCAUACCUGACGUGGUCACUGACAAAAGAUCCUGGCAAAUGGCUGAGGCUGAUGAAACAAACCCCGCCUCACAUCGUUGGAGGGUUGAUUAUGACAUGCUGAGAAGCUAUACACAUCAACUCAUGGCUCUUUCAGAUUUAAUGGAGUUUAUGGUCAGCUCAGAAGCAGAAUACAGACGCCGGCUUAGAAUUAUCGCAGAGUGUAGAGCAGACAUUGAAAAAUGGUUUGCAGGCACUCUUGAUAGGACUCCUGAUAUGAUCUCCAAUUUUGUGAAUGAAAUUAACCCACAACGAGGGCCAUCAACCACACAAUGAGGAGGCAGGAUGAAUAAGUGUAGGGCCCAAGAGCCACCCGCUGCUGCUACUUUAGAAACCCAUCCCAUAGCAUCUGGUGAUAAUCCUACAGAAAUGUCUCAAAAAAACCAAUUUGCUGAUCCACAGGGGGUUGCUGAACAGUUGGAUAUGAAAUCAGGUCCAUCUACAGAGACACUUUUCCGUUGUUGAAUCCUGCUAUGGGUUCUCAGUCAGUUCUGAAGAAUCUCACACUGAUAUGACUUCACAUGUAUACCUAGACGCCCAGAUUCGAAGAGGGGUAUCCUCUGUAAUAGUAUCCCAGCUGUGUGGGCAAAGUUCCACUUCCCACUCCCCUGGAAGAUCCAAAGAGGGUCUUCACUGUGAACUUGUUAAUAGCAGUAUAUGGGGUUGAGAGAUAACAGACCUGAUCAAUCAUAUUCUGAUUGAUUAAAUCCUAUUCUUCACAAUAUGAGUGAAGAAUGAACUAGUGUUUUAAACCAGUUUAAAAAUGAACCCAGGUACAGGCAUUCACACCCACAUGUGUACACUUGUACAGCAUAAUGUCUGAAUCGGGCUAAAGAAGGCCAAGGAACGACUAGCGGAUUUGAGGAGAUGGUAUAGAUCUGAUCAAUAAGCAGGAACAUGGAGGAAACCUUUUCCAAGUGUAUUCUCCACUUUAGAAGGGAAAUGCCUAUCAUGGCAGCAUGCUGUAAAAGAGACUCCAUUUGGGAAUAUUUUAAUGAAGUUCCUGUAUCUGUGGGUAAGACAGGCAUAUGUGCAAAAAUGCAAACCGUGCAAUAAAGAAAUGCAGGGCCUGGUUCCCGAAUGGAACAGCAUUAUGAGUAGCAUGUAUCUACUAUGCUAAGCAUCAUUAGGAAGGGGACUUCUAAAAAUGAAAUCUACAUCUCUUAAUAUGUAUUAAAGUUGUAUUAGAAAACAAGAAUGUAAUGUUACUAGAAAAUGAUGAUUAAAUAGAAUCUUCUUGACAUGAUUUAAAUAAUUAAAA